GCUUACUGAAGCUGUUGUCAAUUGUGUUUCAGAACUUACAAGUAUUCCUGACCCAGCUUUGAGCAGUUUACAGCGUCGUCACAUUUUCCAUCUGAAAAUCCAGGCAGAAGAGCAUGUUUACAAUAGUUCCAUUAGAAAUAGCCUGAGAAAGUCUUCAGUGGGAGGGAUCCAAAACUCAGCUCCUGAAGACCCUAGAAAGGGUUUUUGGUGGAUGGCACAGCCCUCAACCAACCUGCUCAGCUAUAGCUGAGAGAUGAGGGCCCGCUGGUUUUGACAUCAAGUUGGCUAACCUUUAUGGUGAUGUGACUCAGCCAAUUGAAAACCGUCAAUUACUUUGCCUAAAUUAGAAAGUAAACUAGGAAGAUGUUUCCUGUAUAUGUAGCUGGUCAACGCAUCCGCACAGCUGAAGACUGCAUAGAAUCAGUGAGGAUUUUUUGUCUAAUAUUGAUGGACAGAUGGUUCAUGUUGGAGACAUGAAGAAAAUGUGCAAAAGCGGUUUAUCCAUGUAAACAUACAGCCCUCAGACUGCUGCGAUAGGACAGCAAGACCUAUUUUGAUCUGGGAUUGGAUUCACUGGGACACAUCCCAUUUCCACUGCAAUUUGUAAACUAAUGUUUUGUUUCUUCAGAAGAUAUGUUCCAGACAAGUACUUGCCAUCCUUAAGUUGCCUCUUGUCCUUGUUUCCUAAUUGUUUGAUGGUAUUAAUGGAAGCAAAAAGAACAUUCAAGAUACCCUCUUGGUACUUCUCUACAUUUCAGGACCUGCUCGUUUGACUGCUCGUUUUCCAGAAGAAAUGAGGAAAUAGUUUUCUAUGAAUGCAUUUCUCCGUUAUUUUAGCCCUAAACAAGGCCAUGAGCUGUGCUAUUGCAGAAAAUGUGAAUGCAAGGACUAUGGAAAUAUUGGAUAUUGGAGAGUCUCUUUCUUUGGAAGACUCAUGAAUCGUUGGCACUCUGCUAUAACUCUGUUUGGACCUCCUUCACCUAGAUUCUGGUAUUCUCUCCCUAAACUGGCUAUAGUGACCAGCAUAUAGGAAGAAUAGUCCCACAAAUGUGAUCUGUGCACAGCUUUUUUUCCCCAUAUGAGCCCAAAGAAUGACACAUUUAUGUCUGGCUUCUGAGAAGUGGCAUUAAACCCAUCUCGUUGCACUGGCUGGCAAGAUCCUUGGCUCCUUCAACCUGGAGGGGGAUGCAGUGAGUCUGCAGUGAUACAGAAAUCCACGUGGGAUCCUUGACCUCUUCUGCUGCCCAAAGCCACAAGAGAGGAGAUAUCUUCUGCAUAGCCUGUUUCCAGCCGUGAAUGUGCAUAAUCAAGGAAUUACACUGAGAUUUGCUCCCAUUCCAUGGAAGACUCAGAGCAAAACAUCACUGGUUCUUCAGAGUAACCUUCUCUUGUACUGCGCUUCACAUCAUGUACUACUUAAAUCUGAACAUACACACUUUCAGAGUCAAGGCUUUGCAAGCUGUGGCAACAGUGGUGAGUUCAAACAAUUCCCACACAGUGAAAAUACAGCUGGAGGCAAUGGAUUUUCUACUGAGGGCACAGAAGACACAAGCACUCUGGUAACAAAGAAUUUCAGAGGGGCCAAAGGAACCUCAGUGCAUACUCUCCAAUCUAUGUCAACCGUGUUGCAAAGAUUCCCAUCCUAAAAUUAACCAACUCACUAUGAAGCCAUGGACAGUGCAGAAAGGCAGAGAUAUUGAAGGUCAGUUCAGCACUGCGGUGAAGCAGCUCUCCUGCUCCUGGUGCUGGUGCUAAUGCAUGUGGGUCACUAGGGCUAUCUCUGCACUGCUGCCAAGGUUAAGCCUGUUCAUGGUUCUCUGCACCUGUGAAGUAAACCUUUUUUCUCUGAAAACUCCUUUUUUGCCUUCUCAGACAAUGAGCAUGGAAAAAGUGAGACAGUAUGGGAGCAGCUGCAAAGGGAAUCCAAGCUCAGCUAGGAGAAGGUUUAUGUGGCUGGCUAUGAGGGUGCAGGAAAUUCAGGCAACUUUCAUUUGGAAAGGACAAGCAAAAUCUCUCCAUGUCAGAACUUUAGAGUUUUCUUUUAUAUGCUGCCUUGUGCUUCAUGUAAUAAAAUCCAGACCACAUAUGGGACCAAAUCCUGCAGUUGUCAUUGUCUUACAAGUCCUAUUCAAACUUUGACUAGCCAUUAGGUGCUCCCCUGACAAAGAUAAAAUCCUUGUGUUCCAAAUUUUCUGAAGUGUCUUUCAUUAGAAUAAACAUCUCCUGCCCAGUAGCUGAAGAAUGUUCAGCAUAAAGAGCCUUUGUCAGGGAUGGAGCACAGCAGAGCUUCCCGAGGAUUUCUUUCCACUCUGAAACUGAGGUGGGUCUGUCCUCCCUACUCAUUUUAAUUUGUUCAUUUUUCCUAGGAAACAAAUACUGCUCUGGUUUUCAUUUCCUACAGGUGCUUGACUAUCUUGGAGUCUGGAGCUGAGGGAAAGAUUGUUAUCCCUAAUGGUGUUGCCUUUUAUCAUCAACACUGGCUGGUAGUACAGAAGAGUAGUACAUCAGCAAAAUGUACAAAAGCCACUUCUGCACACAUAGUCCACAUGGACUAUUCAGCAACAGAAGUUGUGCAGGACUUCCGAUGUGUUCCCCACUUAUUCUCUCUGAAAUAUUUCUUAGUACAUUUGAAAUAUGUUUUCACUUUUAAAAUCUGACAUUUUACAAAUAAAAUAGAGUGGUAUCUGCCCAAAUAGUUCUUAUUGUAAGGCAGCACUAGUAUUGCUUCACUGUUAAUAUCUUUUCCAGCUCUCUUCUCUUCUCUUCUCUUCUCUCUCUCUUCUCUUCUCUUCUCUUCUCUUCCCUCCUUCUCCCCUCUGUUGCUCAAGAAGCUCAUGGCUCUGUCACUGGGAUCUAUUUUAGAACUACCAAUGCUGAGGAUAGGAAAGCACAUCUCUGUAGCCAGGAACAAAGUACCUAAUUCCUGAAGGAGGCUGUUUUAUAUAUGCCCCUAGAGAUGACUACCUCAGACAUUGUUUAAUAACUCCAGAAGGCACUGAAGAUCCCUUUCCUACCAGGGAGCUGGUUCACAUACAUCUUUCCUCAGGUGCCAGUUUGUCCUUGAGAUUUCUAAAUGAAUGUUACAGAAACUACUUCAGUUUCUCUAAAGUGCUUACAUCACAGAUAUGAUUGUUUCUGACACAGCACAAGAAAAAAUCUCACACAAAAAUAAAAGACCUGAAAAAGUGUAUUUUUACAAACUGGCUUGCAGAAAUAAAAGAAAAGAAUACCCUGUAAAUCCAUCUAAAAGACAUCAUAGUAGUAAUGCAACUUCACUGUUUUCCAACUACUUUGAGAUUGAAUUGGGCUUUUGGCAAUUUAAUAACUUGAGCAAACAACUCUAAACUAGUCUUAGCUUUCUCCCCCACACACACUUCUUUAAAUAAAGUUUAACUUGUAAUAUGGAAUGUGAAUUGUUUGGACUGUUAAAUCAUUCCAACUCAAAACCCACUCAUCAUAAAUGUGUUGAAAGAAGAAUAUAUUUCAGUACUGCGGCAGACUUUGAGUACA